rnacentral:rRNA from 1 species
UACGGGGGGAGCAAGCGUUGUUCGGAUUUACUGGGCGUAAAGGGCGCGUAGGCGGCCACCGCAAGUCGACUGUGAAAUCUCCGGGCUUAACCCGGAAAGGUCAGCCGAUACUGCGGGGCUAGAGUGCAGAAGGGGCAACUGGAAUUCUCGGUGUAGCGGUGAAAUGCGUAGAUAUCGAGAGGAACACCUGCGGCGAAGGCGGGUUGCUGGGCUGACCCUGACGCUGAGGCGCGAAGGCGUGGGGAGCGAACGGG